GGGAAGGAAGGAAGGAAGGAAGGAAGGAAGGAAGGAAGGAAGGCAGGCAGGCAGCCAAAAAAAGAAAGCUUUCCUAUGGUAAGAGUCAGGUGAGGGCACUUGUUGAAAUUAUAUCUUUCUUGACCUCUCCUGGAAAUUUUGCUUCAGGGUUUUGGGGAUGGGUUCUGGAAUUUGCAUUUUAAAACAGGGGCUUCUUUUGAGAAGUUAGGGAAGCACUGAUUGAAAGCAAGUUUGACCUUCUGUAGCAGAGAGAACUUCUGGAGUCAUCCAACUGGUCAGAAGCCUCCUCGACUACCCACACUUCUUUGUGAUUGUGCUUCCCCCAGCCAGGGCUCUGGAAAGUGUUCACGGCCGGGAGACCAGAGUUGUCUGGAGGUUACAGAGCAGAAAACCUUAGUGCGCGUAUGUGUUUGUACAAAACUGUGCACACUCAAACACACUUGCGGACACUACCCAAGAUGACGGCAGAAAAGGAAUUGGCUAAAAUCAUUGAAUUUGGGCGCAGAGACUGUGCUCAGAGGAAUAUUAUCUCUAAUUUUAAAAACAAAAGGAUGAAGGGAUAGUCCCAUUGAUAAUUGGGGAGAAUUUGGGUCUCAGUCCUGAAGGGAGGGAGGGUCUUGUCGCUGAAACCCAACAGUCUUCACCUCGGUCACCUUCCAGGAUGGUGCAGCUUCACCCACUGUGUCCUCCUGGCAAUUCCCGGAGGGCUAACACCUGUGUGCUUUAUGCCUAGAAAAUGCUAGAACCUGGUGGAACAGGGAAAGGCCCUCUUAGCCAGCCUCAGUGAGACAGGAGCCAGGAGAGGCUAAGGCUCUCCCUCCCGGUCUCCCCACUGCAGAGGCCACUUUUAGGCAACAGGCUUGAGCAAUAGAAACCAGGGCAAGGCAGACGGACCACAGUGACCACCAAGCUGAAUGCGAACAGGCUCACUGGGCAACUGACCUCAAAAUAGCCAUAGGCCCUAACUACCCAAUGGGCUACUUAUAACUGGUAAUCCUAAAAUUCCCAAAAAAGGGAAAAUUCCAUACAGCCCCAUAGUCCCUCACUCUGGCCCCUCAGCACCACCUCAUGGCCGACAGUCUCUCCUUUGCUGUCCUGCCCCCUGCUCCCUGGCCCUGUAUUAAGUAAACUUCUCUUUUGUUCUGCCUUGGGUGAAUCCUUUCACCGGCUGCCCUGCUGCCCCCCCCCCCACCCGCCAUCAGAGCAUCCCAUACCCACCUCCUUCUAGGGAACACUCUCUCCAGUCUAGACUCUCCUGUCUGUCUCCUCCCUGGGGCCCGCUGCCAAGGGGAUGGCUUUGCUUGCUGAACUCCAUGUAGCUUUUCUGUGUGACUUCUCUAACAGGAACUUGAAAAUAGUAUUCUGAACUUAUCAUGCUCAAUCAGUCCCAUUUUGAGGGACCAUGCAUACCAGGCGUGUUGAAGUUUGGGAUGAACUGGUGCUGGAUUAAUAGACCAGACCAGGAGCCACGAGACGUGACAGGGAUUGAACUGGGCCCGGAAAAUGGUUUAUGAGAACAAAACAACAAAAAUGAGAAUAUGCCAUUCUGUGAAUGUACUAAAAACCAUUGAGUUGUACACUGUCAGUGGGUGAAUUAUGUGGUAUGUGAAUUAUACCUCAAUAAAACUGCUACCCUCUCACUCCCCCCAAAAAGAAUUAAAUACUGAGAAGUAGAUAAUUUCCUGGAAAGGCAGUUUCUCAUUUUAAGACAUAAUGACCAGCCGACGUGAGGCUUGGUUUUCUCUCCCAUCCAAUCCUGUUUAGAAAUACCAGCCUGUGUCAUCCACCAGCAGCCCGGAGCCUGACCCAUGCCCACCCCCACAAACCAUGCCACUAUUGAAGAGGGCGAGACUUGACAAAUCCCAAAAUAGCCCAAGAGGCUAACCAUGAUUUUCCAGGUUUGGGUUUGCAAGCUGAAUCCUGACGACGACGACUUAACGGCCAGCACUCCGUGAAGAGUUACGACAGGCCAGGCACUGAACCCUGUAAGGUACUGCUAGCAGAUCUGCGUUUCACACAGGAGAAAACUGAAGCACGGUUUCCGGAAAUGGCCCAGACUCACUCAGCCGCGGAGUGGCUGGCCACCGUUCAACUUCAGGUUCUAACUUGGGUUGUACAGGGGAAACAUCUGGAGAGCUUUCUAAUCCACUGGUACCUGGUUCCUGCCCCUGGAGAUUCUAAUUUUAUUGAUUUAGGGUGUGGCCCGAGCAUCAGGCUUUUUUUGGUUUUGUUUAGAGCACACCAGGUGAUUCUAAUGAGAACCGAUCUCCAGGGUCCAAGGUCCACAAGAUCAAGGCUGUUCACUCCUUGCAGGCGCCACGCCCGUGACUUGAGUGGCAGUUACUGAAUGCACCGUUGAAUUCCUCCGUUUGGGGUUAAUACAGGGAAGAAGAGAAGUUUCAGGACAGGGGCCCUGGCUGCAGGGCUCGGCAGGAUUUGUCAGGCCUUGGCUGAUCCUUGACCUCCGUCAGCCUCCCCUCUCCACAGCUGGAGACCAUGAUCUCACCGCCCAGUCCAGCCCCACCCCACUCCAAGCCCUCUGCCCCUCUCGCCCUGGGUGGGGCAGGGUGGGGGGCAGGCAAGUCUUGUGCAUAUCAACAGCAAGAAUUCUUGAUCUUGAACCCACCUGACCUGGUGCUAAGCUCUGUAACCAGCUUCCGGAGUUGGUCCUGGGUCAGCCCUUGUGAACCUGGCUAAGGUGACUCUGAAUCGGCCCAGCUUCCUGCAAAGUUCUCAUCAGGAACGCCGUUCCCGCAUACAUGUGUAGCCCCUGCAUUUCACCUAGCAAGCGGUGAGUCCCUCUUCAGGCUUUGACCCCAGAGCUGCCCCUUUAUAAUAGCCGGCCCAAAUCCCUAUCCUGCCACGAUUCCCGAGUGGCUCUCCCUCCAUCAGUUUUGAGGUGGCCUCCUUUUGAGUCCUGGCAGGCUGCUGCCUAUUAAAUGGUCCUCUUAAAGACCCACAAACUUGCCCAGGAUUUACACUUUCAAUUGUUUAUCUGUCUGCCCUUCAAAAAUAGAAAUGGAGAGUCCUCUGAAAUUAAUAUGGAAAUUAGGUUGGAAACAUGCAAUUAAAACAGUCACAAAGACAAAGCAGGAAAUGAGCCUGAGAAGAUGAUGGCCCACCCUCCGGCCCUCUCUGCUGGGGCUGGAGGGGGAGCUCAUCUUCCCACCCCACCCCCAAGGCUUUGCUGGCCCUGCCUGCAGCCUCCCUGUCCUGCCCUCCCAAACCCGGGCUGGCUUCCUGCCCACCCCUGCCAUUAGAAGGCCGCUGCUGCAGGGAGCUUUUGUCUCCCCAAACCUCACAAGUUCAGCAGGACGUUGGCUAAACUCCACUGAAAAAUGUGAGCCCCUUGACUCUCACUGUUAACUUCUGUCCUGCAUACGGCCCCCUCCCGUGGUCCAGGACAGGAUGCUCUGACUGGCAGGCUCCCAGCUACCUUCUCACUGCUGAGCUCCCCACUCUCAAGGCUUUUAGAAACACUUCCGUUACCAACACCCUCCCCUUUGGCUUCUAGCUCUUUGCAGAAUCUCCCUCCUCCUUCCUUCAGCGAAGGAACACAACUGCCUAGAGCCCCUUUGAGUGGAGGCUGCUUGUUCUUAACACCUCCAACUUACCUUAGGCCUAGAAGCCACUGCUGACGUUCUUGCAGCUUCUUGCUGUUUACAGGCAAAUACAUGCUCACCCUCCUUUGAAAUCUGUGCCAUCUUCCUACACCAUCUGUAAUAUUGAGGCUUAGUUCCUCUACUGACAGAAAACCUCAAGAAACAGUGUUUCAACCUCACCAGAUUUUUAUUUUUUGAGUUAAAGAAGUCUCAGAGGUAGACAGUCCAGAGCAAGUACUGUGGCUUUGUGAGGUCCUCAGGGACCCAGGCUUUUUCCUGCUCAGUGCUUUGCCAUUGCUAGGUUGGGACCCUCAUCCUCAUGGCCCAAGAUGCAUCUCAGGCUUCUGUCAUUACAUGGGAUUUCCAGGUUGGCCGUCGAGGAAAGGGGAAAAAAGGCUUCCAGAAGUACCAGAGAGCAGUCACAUGGGCACCCUGAGCUGCCAGCUAGGCUGUGCAAAGUGUUUAAAAAGUCUAGGUUGACAGUGGUUCCAGCUAAAAAACUCAAACUCCUUAUUGCUGAGGAAGAAGGGGCAGGUGGGUAUUUGGUGGCAACAGUCCGUUUCUUCCAUGCCCUUCUCUACCAGCCUUGUUGUGCCCUCCACCUACAACUUGGUUCUUCUUCACAAGCUCUGAGGACUUCAGUAUUUGCAUCAUCUGGGGAGACCUUAGGAUCCCCAUUCUGUGACCUCCCUCCAGCCUCCCAUCCUCGUGGCCAUAGCACGGAGCUUGGAGCUUGUCGGUACACCUUGGGGAAGGGUGCGGUGUCCUCUGACCACAACCUCUUACCCUUCCAGCUCCCUCCUCCCUCCUUCCAAUUCUAUUCUGGGACCUCAUUUGGAUCUUGAGUUCCCUGACUCUGCAUUUAGCAUCCUCAAUUUACUCCCCAGGGCCACAUGGUGUCCUGCCUUUCUCUUGCCCACACUCCCAGGUCCCUCCUCCCUGACCGACCCAGCCCCUGCCUCCGUCUGCAGAGCCCGCUCCUAUAGACACCACAGAGCUCAGAUGCAUGGUGUCCAACGGCAGCUGCUUCCACACACUGCUUUCUUUCAAAGCCUCUUCCGUGGACUUUGUCAAAUCCUUCCCCCAAUUCCCUUAGCAGAGAUUUCAAACCCUAAUGACUCCCUUAAGCCUUCCCCCAGUAAUGACCCUGCUUCUAUUUUUUUUUUUAAGAUUUUAUUUAUGUGAGGGGGGGUGGUAGGGGCAGAGGGAGAGAGAGAAUCUGAAGCAGACUUCCAGCUGAGUGUGGAGCCCAAUGUACGGCUUGAUCUCAGGGCCCUGAGAUCAUGGCCUGAGCCGAAAUCAAGUGGAAUGCUUAACUGACUGAGCCACCCAGGCUAUCUUUCAGAGAAGGGGUCCUCAGGUGUGGUCUCCUCCACUCCCCCGCCCUCCCCCCGCAAGCUUCCUGAAUCCAGCCCUUUCCUUCGGCCCCCAUCUCCAAGGAAGGAGGGGUCUCCUCCCUGGGCCAAGGCUGAACCGCUACAGGCAGUACACUUCUCCUCUCCCUUUGAGUAGCCGCUCCAUUGCCUGUACCUUUAAUCUCUUUGUCCUCCUUGGCUUCUUCCUCCCAGAGUAGAAAUAUGAGGCUCUCUUUCAAACUAAAAAGCCCCCAUGUAUCUCACCCUGCUUGCCUAUAGAGAUCCUUCUGCAGCCCAGUUUGUGGAAAAGUUGCCUCCCCUCCCUUUCUCCACUUCCUCACUCCCUUCGGACUUCCGCCCUUUCCUGUCUGGCUCCUGCUCUUACUAUGUCCUGGAAACUGGGUCAAGGUGCCCACUGACAAGGCUUUUUGAGGCUUCUCCUUGGUGGCUUCCCCUGGGGCAGGACUCACUAUCAGCCACUCCCUCCCUCUUCGGAAAUUCUCCGUCCUCUCUUGGCUUGGCCCCCCUUCAGGGUCUGCUGUGCCACCUCCUUUUCCUCUGGGCCUUGAUACGGGUAAUUCGUCCAUCUGGGGUGGAGGCUGUCCCCAUGGCCUGGGCCCCAUCACAAUUCUGAAUCAGCUGGACUUACGGAAACACCUCUCUGUCUAGGAAAUGGAACAUGCAAACUCAGCCUUCGCUUACCUUUCCCUGGCAAACAGGACCUGCUGGCCUUAUAUGGAAGGCCCUGACCCCCCAGCUGGUCACACUCUGCUCCCCACUUGUUGCCUCGAAGGCUCGAAGGCUCUACAACACAGGCUCCCUCCAGAGAGCGCUCUGCUGCUUGAGAGGCCCUGUCUUCCCCAAUUCAGGGAUUGCUUUCCCUUGAACAAGCCCAUCAAGCUCCUUACCAAUUGUUUUAUUUUUGUCACCUGACAGCGUCUUGAGAAGUUGGGUUCUCCCAGGGCUCCCCAGCCCCACGGUUCUUCCCAGCGUCCAUAUCCCUGUGAUGAAGGAGAGUCGGAAGAAAGGCAGGCAGGAACAAGGGACAAGGGGCCACCCCGCCCGAAGAAACCACCCUUGAAAGGAUUUUACAGCACCCUGGAAGGAGCCCUCCACCCUUUCCCAUAUGAUAGAUAAGUGACAAAAACCUGAUUGGGUGACAGGCACGUGGAGGGUUAAUCAGAUUAAAACGGCCCUCCAGCAAGCCAUAAAAACCCCUAGACCUAGCUACUUGGACUCCGACUCCGGUGCAGGGUCUCCUCCCUUCUUGGGCUUUGUACUGUCACUGCCCUAUAGCUCAAUAAACCCGCUUUGCUGCCUACCAUGCUGUCUGGUCGGUCUACCUCUUCAGUCUUCGAAGCCGUGAGACCAAGAACUUCAGGAACCCGAAAGGAAAAAAUCUUAUAACCCCCGACGGGGAUCUCUUUCAUACCCAGAGUUUUGACUGCUCCCUACAUCCCAGCAGGACUCUGGUUUGAACUGAACUGAGUCCCCCAGUUCUCAGGCACGUUUGGGCAUGUGUGGGGGCCCGCUGGAUGGGAUCGUCUCCGGUCUGUUUCUGUGUGGACUAGAUGUCUCCUGGGGAAGAACAUGGUUAUUGUUUCCGUCCCCUCCAUCGCAGAUCAACAGAGUGAUCUCAGAGUUAAUCCAACACAUAUUAACAAGCAGUCUUCUAGCCCUGGGAGGUGGGGGUCAGCAGGGAACAAAAAAGACAAAAUCCUGUCUUCGUGCAGACAGGCAUAAACAGCAAAAUACGAAAGAUACGUUGUGAGAAGUGCUAAGGAGAAAAAUUACACAGGGUGAAGGGAUAGGAAGUGAGUGUGUGAGGCUUGACUUUUGAGGUGGCAUAAUCACUGAGAUGGUGUGGCAAGAUUGAAGGGGUGAUGUGUGGCCGUGUGCAGGGGAAAGUACUCCAAGUGGAGGGGACAGCAAGUGCAAAAGCCCUGAGAGGACAGAAAAGGUCCUUUGCUUGAGGACCGAAGGGAGUGAAUAAGGAACAGCAGCCUAGAGAUAAGUAUAUGUGACCCUGAAGAAGUUGCAUUUCCCAUGGCUCCCUCUCGAAAGAAGUUAUGAAAAAUUUCUCAAGGAGUUCAAAGCUGGAGUCUGGAGCAGCUCUCAGCAGCUUUCAGAGUCCAUGGAUAGAGCUCAGGAACCAUCCUUUUUGAGCGUGUGGUGCCCCCUCCUUGCUCUGAAAGGCCCUGCCCCUGUCCAGAAAAGACGCAGCUUAUAAUAAUCAGGGAACAAUACAUGUACCUGCAGGACAUGCAAGCUUAACCACUGCAGAGACCUUGGGACGUAGAGUAUCUCGCAAGGACUUUCACAGUUCCUUCCUGCCUGUCACUGGUGCUCCUGGAGGACAGAUGGUUUCGACGACGGAGGAUUUCUAUUUUUGGCCGGAGAAGAAACACGGAACUCCAUCACUGCAGGAUUUCGUUAACCAAAGCAGGCGCACUGACGGAAAAUGGGACGGAUGAUGUUUUACAACAGUGUUACGGGCGCUCUUCCCAGACCACAGCCCAACAAAGAAAUUUUAUCCGUGCUCAGUGCAGGUCUGCCCCCUAUGGGCCAGAUUCCCAACUUACUUAGUUUCAUCAAGUCUGUUAGGGCUCAGAACGAUGGGUCUUUUUUUUUUUUUUAAUUUAUUUAAAUUUAUUUAUUUUUGACGAUGGGUCUGUUUAAAUCCUUAAGUCCUGGGAGCAAAAUUCGUGUCUUUCUUCUCCACUGUAACUAGCUGUCGCUCUGUAAAGAGUUCUUCAGGACCUCCUUCCUUCGCUGGGUCUCUCAGGCCUCAGGGACAGCCGAGUUGGGCUCAGAAUGUGAUUGGAGGACUCAACAGCUGACUCGAAAUCACAGAAUUUUUAAACUCUAGAAGCGGAAGUUUAGGCAAAGUACUUUCCUUACUCUCUGCCUGGGAGAAGUGCAUGUCUCUAGCUCAAGUACGGACACAUAGAUGAAGUUUCCAUUUUGGACAGGAUAUAACCAAAGAUGAGCUAACACGGGGUGUUCUGGGUUGAAUUUCACUAGGUUGCGAAGGGCCUAAACGUACCGAUUCUGCCUGUACGUGUCUGCAUUUUGUCGUUUGGUAUUCACCAGACACUUAAUGUAAAAGACUGAUUAUUAUAGUUCCUUAAGAAAUAACCCACGUUUGACCCACUCUGCUCCUGUGGGACGACCAGCAACUCUGGGCCUGCUGGCCACACACGGAGCACAGUGCAGGCGGGCCCUUUAAGUGAAAUACACCUGCGAUUUGAAGCUCCUUUUAAAUGGGUCAUUUUGGGUCUGCAUGUGACAUGACGCUUGCUGGUAGUGGAACACCUUUAAGGCAAAAUAGGAAGAAUGUAGGAGGAGAAAACCCAUCUAGGAUUGUGGCAGGAAGUCGUCUUUAAGGCAGGCACUUUUAUAUUGACAGAAUUUAGCAGAGAAUUCACAUUUACUAAGCACUUACUAUGUGCCAGGUGUCAUGCUAAAUGCUUUCCACGGAUUAUUUCAUUUGUUUCCCCCCACCAGUUCUGUGAGGCUGGUGUUCUUGCAAUCUCUGUUCCACUGGUGGGGGAGAAGAGGCUCAGGGAGGGUAAGUGACUUGGAGAACAUCACGUGCCCUGAAGUUGGAGAGUCAGGAUUCACAUCCAGGCAGUCUGACUCCAGGUCUGUGCUCCUUGCCUCACCUACCGUAGCAACUUAUUUAGGGCCCAACCCUGCUGAUUAUCAGGGGCAAAGGCAAUCAGGGACAUGGGGCUCCUUCACUGAGGACCCGAUGCUGAGCUUCUCAUCAGCGUACACAUCUAUGCCUCUAUAGGUGGGGUCAUGCAAAUCUUUUCCUCCUCAGUCCCUGGGUUUAUCACUAGACCUGGGAUAUUUCAGAAUAAAUUUGCGCUAGUAAUUAAAUAUACAGUGUUCUUCCAUAAAAGCUGAGUGCGGAGAAGCCCCAGUAGUCUUGAGUGCAUAAUAAGCAGUGGAAGGAAACCAAGGCCAGAGAGGAGGGACCUCGAAGGUGUUUUCUGGGUCCUUCCAGGCACUAGAUGUUGAGGUGGGAGAUGACUGUAAUAUGAUAUACCUCAAUCUACCGGGGAAAAAUCUUGUUUAAUCCCCCAUCCUUCAAUAAAAAAUGUAAAAAAAAAAUUGUUGUUUGAGAGCAAAUCUUUUAUAAUUUUCCUUACACAUCUUGUGGAUGUCAAUUAAAAACAAUCUUUGGGGCACCUGGGUGGCUCAGUUGGUUAAGUGUCUGACUCGGUUUCGGAUCAGGUGAUGAUUUCAUGGGUUGUGAGAU